rfam:Gossypium hirsutum cultivar TM-1 chromosome 6, whole genome shotgun sequence
UGUUAAAGUUUCCAUCCAUUUGUAUUGUUAAAAAUUGGCAUGGUUGAUGGAAUAACUACACAGUGUCACGUAGCAUGAAAGGGCCAAUAUUUAACAGUAAAAAUGGAUGAAAAUUUUAACA